GAUGAAGAACGUAGCGAAAUGCGAUAAGUAAUGCGAAUUGCAGAAUUCAGUGAGUCAUCGAAUCUUUGAACGCACAUUGCGCCCCUUGGUAUUCCAUGGGGCAUGCCUGUUCGAGCGUCAUUUGUACCUUCAAGCUCUGCUUGGUGUUGGGUGUUUGUCUCGCCUCUGCGUGUAGACUCGCCUUAAAACAAUUGGCAGCCGGCGUAUUGAUUUCGGAGCGCAGUACAUCUCGCGCUUUGCACUCAUAACGACGACGUCCAAAAGUACAUUUUUACACUCUUGACCUCGGAUCAGGUAGGGAUACCCGCUGAACUUAAGCAUAUCAAUAAGCGGAGGA
rnacentral:misc_RNA from 1 species